AAUUCCUUGUCGGGUAAGUUCCGACCCGCACGAAAGGCGUAAUGAUUUGAGCACUGUCUCGACAAUGCAUCCGGUGAAAUUGAAGUACCAGUGAAGAUGCUGGUUACCCGCGCCAGGACGGAAAGACCCCAUGGAGCUUUACUCCAGUUUGGUACUGGGAUUCGGUACUGCAUGUACAGGAUAGGUGGGAGACUAAGAACUUGGGACGCCAGUUUCAAGGGAGUCGCUGUUGGGAUACCACCCUUGCAGUAUUGGAUUUCUAACCAGCCGCCGUGAUCCGGCGGUGGGACAAUGCCAGGCGGGGAGUUUGACUGGGGCGGUCGCCUCCGAAAGGGUAUCGGAGGCGCUCAAAGGUUCCCUCAGAAUGGUUGGAAACCAUUCGAAGAGUGCAAAGGCAGAAGGGAGCUUGACUGCGACACCGACGGGUGGAGCAGGUACGAAAGUAGGACUUAGUGAUCCGGUGGUAUAAAGUGGGAUUGCCAUCGCUCAACGGAUAAAAGCUACCCUGGGAUAACAGGCUUAUCACUCCCAAGAGUUCACAUCGACGGAGUGGUUUGGCACCUUGAUGUCGGCUCAUCGCAUCCUGGGGCUGUAGCAGGUCCCAAGGGUUGGGCUGUUCGCCCAUUAAAGCGGUACGCGAGCUGGGUUCAGAACGUCGUGAGACAGUUCGGUCCCUAUCCGGCGCGGGCGGAGGAUAUUUGAGAGGAGCUGUCCUUAGUACGAGAGGACCGGGAUGGACGGACCACUGGUGUAUCUGCUGUCGACCAACGGCAUGGCAGAGUAGCCAAGUCCGGAAGGGAUAAACGCUGAAGGCAUCUAAGCGUGAAGCCCCCCUCAAGAUGAGAUAUCCCAUAACAUAAGUUAGUAAGACCCCUUGAAGACGACGAGGUAGAUAGGCAGAAGGUGGAAGUGUGGUGACAUAUGGAGCUGAUCUGUACUAAUAGGUCGAGGGCUUA
rnacentral:rRNA from 1 species